CAGAGAGUUUCCGGGCAGGUAAUGCUGCCACCAUGCCAAGAGGGUGAUGCACCCUAACCACAAGACAGACACCCCAGAACUCACUGUGUGAAACUCUUCAUCCAGCUGUUCAUCAGUAUCCUUCAUAACAUCCUUUCCAAUAUGCUAAUAUAUAGAAAGACACUGAAGGAAUUAAAUCAGCUUGUCCAGCAGCAAGCUUCAGAGCCAAAUAUAAGCACACCUCAUAAUUCAGAGACCUCGUGAUGGGUCCUCAGAAGACACACCCAGCAGCUGCCAAAUGAACAGCAGAUGACGGAAAGGGGCCCUUGGCCUGAUCUCUCAUGGGAGACAGUGACCUUUCCUGAGUUGAAGAUGGUGAAAUGCCAGAAGGAGCUGAUGAGGCUGUCCCACACACUGACACUGCUAUGAUAUCAUGAUUGAAUUUCACUUUUUUCUCCCACCAUAAUGUAAUUUCUGGGCAGUGAUUGGGGUGUUGAUUCAUAAACACCCCUUACUGUUCUGCAUUGGAUUAAUCAUGAUGUACUGUCUUUUUCUCACUAUUUACAAAGUACAGCACCAUGAGAAUCCCUGAAUUUUAGAAUAAGUUUCUCUCCACUGGAAUAUAACACAUAUUUUGGGUUCUUUGCCUGGACUGGUCAUUUCUUUCUUUUACUAAUUGUUGUGAAAGAAUGACAGAGAUGUACAACAUGGUUUUUGAAUGGAUGCUGAGUUUAACUCUCCCGCUUACCAGAGAUAAAGUUGGCCAUACACACACGUCUCUUAUAUAAGAGUUUAUUCAUUGGCAGACACUUUGAUGAUGACAUUGAGUUAGAUGAAAUACUGGUUCCAGUUUGUAGCACUUUAUGAAUUUUCAUGUAAAGUGAUCAUUCAAUUUAAGGUUUCUGCACACAUCUUACAAAGCAUAUCUGUUUAUCAGAGCUCAUUUACUUAAGAGGAUUAAAAUGAAAUCUCUCCUCAUGAGCCAAGGGUGAAAUAGCUAGUGUCCGCUCCUAAAUAUGUGAACUAAUAUGUUUUUCCAUGGGCAAGCAAGAUUUUGUUUUUCUCCUAUUUUUCUUCUUCAGAAGGAAAUGAUUAAAAUAUUAAUAACACAAAAAUAAAUAUACAUUAUAAAACUCAAAAAAAUAA
rnacentral:lncRNA from 1 species